AAUCAACGCUGGCGGCGUGCCUCAGACAUGCAAGUCGAACGAUUAAGACUCUCUUCGGAGAGUGCAUAAAGUGGCGCACGGGUGAGUAACACGUAAGUAAUCUACCCUCGAGUGGGGAAUAACAACCGGAAACGGUUGCUAAUACCGCAUAAUGCAGCGGCACCGCAAGGUGACAGUUGUUAAAGAUUUAUCGCUUGAGGAGGAGCUUGCGGCAGAUUAGCUAGNGGUAAGGUAAUGGCUUACCAAGGCUACGAUCUGUAACCGGUCUAAGAGGACGGUCGGUCACACUGACACUGAAUAACGGGUCAGACUCCUACGGGAGGCAGCAGUCGGGAAUUUUGGGCAAUGGGCGAAAGCCUGACCCAGCAACGCCGCGUGAAGGA
rnacentral:rRNA from 1 species